rnacentral:rRNA from 1 species
GUCCUAGCCAUAAACGAUGGGCGCUAGGUAGUGGUCGUUCCUAUGCGGUCACUGCUGGAGCGAAUGUCUUAAGCGCCCCGCCUGGGAAGUACGGUCGCAAGACUAAAACUCAAAGGAAUUGACGGGGGCUCACACAAGCGGUGGAGCAUGUUGCUCAAUUCGAAGCAACGCGAAGAACCUUACCCGGGUUUGACAUGCUGGUGGUAGCUGCCGGAAACGGCGUGCGAACCUCUCCCGAGGAAGCCAGCACAGGUGUUGCAUGGCUGUCGU